rnacentral:rRNA from 1 species
UACAGAGGUCUCGAGCGUUGUUCGGAUUCAUUGGGCGUAAAGGGGGCGUAGGCGGCGCGGUAAGUCGGGUGUGAAAUCUUGGAGCUUAGCUCCGAAACUGCAUUUGAUACUGGCGUGCUUGAGGACUGGAGAGGAGACUGGAAUUCAUGGUGUAGCAGUGAAAUGCGUAGAGAUCAUGAGGAAGACCAGUGGCGAAGGCGGGUCUCUGGACAGUUCCUGACACUGAGGCACGAAGGCCAGGGGAGCAAACGGG